AUUGAACGCUGGCGGCAUGCCUUACACAUGCAAGUCGAACGGCAGCAUGGAGAGCUUGCUCUCUGAUGGCGAGUGGCGAACGGGUGAGUAAUGCAUCGGAACGUACCGUGUAAUGGGGGAUAACGUAGCGAAAGUUACGCUAAUACCGCAUACGACCUGAGGGUGAAAGCAGGGGAUCGCAAGACCUUGCGUUAUACGAGCGGCCGAUGUCAGAUUAGCUAGUUGGUGAGGUAAAGGCUCGCCAAGGCGACGAUCUGUAGCGGGUCUGAGAGGAUGAUCCGCCACACUGGGACUGAGACACGGCCCAGACUCCUACGGGAGGCAGCAGUGGGGAAUUUUGGACAAUGGGGGCAGCCCUGAUCCAGCCAUGCCGCGUGAGUGAAGAAGGCCUUCGGGUUGUAAAGCUCUUUCGGCCGGGAAGAAAUCGCACAGGCUAAUACUCUGUGUGGAUGACGGUACCGGCAUAAGAAGCACCGGCUAACUACGUGCCAGCCGCCGCCGUAACAC
rnacentral:rRNA from 1 species